GAGAAUCCGGGAUAUUCCAAUGGCAGAUUCGGCAAUGGAGAUUUGAAGUUAAGCAUGUCGAUCACCUGUUUGAUCGAAGGCCGCAGACAGAAAUCGGGCUGAGCGCAAGCAAGUCCGACGAUCAACAGUUGCUUCAUCUCAUCUCUUUUGAAAAUUUGGCGCAAUUUUGGAUCCGCGGCCUCAAUCACACUCCUUCGUCGGCGAUUUCCAAACACACGAUGCCGAAGCUGUAGAUGUCGGAUUCUUUACUUGAAAUGCUGCUUUGCAGGUACUCUGGUGCUACAUAACCUUCUGUUCCUCGUAGCGUGGUGGAUGUUGAUGGUUUUCCACGAUCUACGAGUUUAGCAAGCCCGAAAUCGCCGAGUUUCGCGUUGAAUUCGGCAUCUAUGUGUAGGUACCCUAAGAAAACAAGGUAUAACCAUCGGUAGGCUCCACGGGAAGCUGCUGUUCGGCCUCUGGCACGAACCGUAGAGUGACAGCUAAGAAGUUGUCUUGUAAAGAAUGAAAGCCCGUACGACACCCGAUGCAUGGUAAGCUGUCUUUACAUUGGAUUGUUUGAGAUUAUUUGCAUGGUUUGAAAUGAGUUCUUGUUUUUUCUUUUUAAGAAUUAUACGUGGAUGAGCGGAUUCGAGUUCAUGACCUUUAAAAGAGGUCGUUGGGUUAAUUAUGCCUUUCUUUUUAGUAUAGUUCGAUAAUAUGUAUCAGUAGCGAUUUUAACGUUUAUUUUUUUUGGAAGGUCGAGGUUUAUUUUGAUCUUGUAAA